rnacentral:rRNA from 1 species
CCUACGGGUGGCAGCAGUGAGGAAUAUUGGUCAAUGGGCGCGAGCCUGAACCAGCCAAGUAGCGUGAAGGAUGACUGCCCUACGGGUUGUAAACUUCUUUUAUAAAGGAAUAAAGUGAGGCACGUGUGCCUUUUUGUAUGUACUUUAUGAAUAAGGAUCGGCUAACUCCGUGCCAGCAGCCGCGGUAAUCCGGAGGAUCCGAGCGUUAUCCGGAUUUAUUGGGUUUAAAGGGAGCGUAGAUGGGUUGUUAAGUCAGUUGUGAAAGUUUGCGGCUUAACCGUAAAAUUGCAAUUGAUACUGGCAGUCUUGAGUACAGUUGAGGUAGGCGGAAUUCGCGGUGUAGCGGUGGAAUGCGUAGAUAUCACGAAGAACUCCGAUGGCGAAGGCAGGUUACUAAGCUGCCACUGACAUUGAUGCUCGAAAGUGUGGGUAGCAAACAGGAUUAGAUACCCGGGUAGUC